rnacentral:lncRNA from 1 species
AUCAAAUAUACACAAAUGCAUAUAAAGCAUACUAUAUUAACAUAUAAUUAGAAUACAUUUACGAAGAAGAUCUGUGAAGAUCCUUUGGUCACAGUCCAUGGGACGGGUUCUGAGAGCAGUAUUGGAUGGACGUACUGCCAGUUAGAGAACACUGCUGUAUCAGAGGAAACCAGCCUGGGAUAUUCUCAUGAAAGCCUGCCAUGACUGAGGGCACUUCUAGAUAAAGAGGAACUAGAAACAUUUCUGGAUAAAUAGAGCUAUGUUUUUUUAUCCUUAUCUCUCAUGCCCUGAUUUGAGGGAGUCAGAAGAUGGAGAAGAAGGAGGACGUUGAGGAAGGUCCGUUGACUAAUAAAUCCCAAUCCCAUUGUUGGUUCCUAAGACCGUGACACAUUGGACUAAGAGGGGCCAAGUCCUCAUUCCCUGAUAGUGACAUCAAAUUAACAAACAGAAACUGGCUAAAAUAAUUUUUGUGAGAAUUCUAGGAAAACAAAAAACUUCACCAACCAAAGGAAUGCUUCUUCAAGAAAAAUGCCAAAUUCAAAAUAG